GUUCAGGGGCAGCUGGGCGGCUACAAGUACAUGCUCAGGCGACCGUGCUGAGCGCGGGGGCUGCCCCCGGCCCGCUCCGAGCCCCUGGUCCCCCUGAGCUGGCCCUUGUGCCUGCCCUCUGCUCUGCCUCCUUCUCGGGGUGGGGGCGGGGGCGGGUGCAUUUCUGGCCUUGGGGCAGCGUGCUCCCAGGGACAGCCGAGUCCUAUCCUGAGUCCUCCUUGGUGUCAGCCAUCUUGGUGCCCUGGAGGGUCCUCGCUGGCUCCCCUCCCAUCCCAUGUGGCCGCUCUGAACCUCAGUUUCCCGCUCAGUGACUGCUACCAUGGGGGAGCCCAGGAGGAUUCAGUGAGGACCCCUCAACCCCAGCCCUGCACCAGGAGCGCUCCCUGCGCCUGCGCUGGGAACCACUGUGCCGCCUCACUCAGGCCAGGGCGUCGGGCGCUUCCGUCUGCCCUGCCUUCAGCCAUCGCCACCGCCGCCUGUGUGUGCUCUUCUCCUGAGAGAACAACACAGUUGGUUUGAAUCAACAUUCAAAGAGCCCACACUGCAUCUGAGUGAUACUAUCUUUGUCAGUAAUUAUCACUUUCAGCUCAGUGGAUCUGAGGUCUGUGUUCCUAGAACUGGGAGAGUUGGGGGGAUCUGAUGAGACCCCACGGCCCCAGGCUUGGCCUGAGCCUGGCAGAGCGGCCCACCAGAUCUGAUCUCUGCCGCAAGGACAUUUCUGGACGUCAUGGGGCUGAACCAGGAUGGUGGCUACGGUGAGGUGCGGGCAGUGCCCAGGUGAGGCACGAGUCCAUAGGGACCAGGGCUGAGGUGUGUGAGGACUGUGGGACAGACAGGCGCAGGGGCAGCUCGGGACAGUUAGGUCUGGGCGGUGUCCAUGAGCAGACCUGACUUGUGAGGGUGAGGCAACUCGUGCCUGGGACGUUCUGCAGAGCCGCUGGUCUGAAGGAAGACUUGGGCUUUUUUUGGCCACGCCGUGCAGCAGUGUAACUUCCCUGACCAGGGAUUGAACCUGUGGCUCCUGCAGCAGAAGCAGAGUCUUAACCACCGGACCACUGAGGAAGUCGCAGGAGGGCAGACUUUGAAAGCACCCAGGCAAUUUCGAGGUUGACUGAAGACCUCAGGAGCGGUGGUGUGCCGGAGCCGGCUCACACCUUUUCACAAGAGCCAUUUAAUUUGCAGACCUUUUUGUGGUUUUGGUUUGUGAACCAUUAUUAAAAGAUGAAAACAUUUA